rnacentral:rRNA from 1 species
UACGUAGGGUGCAAGCGUUGUCCGGAAUUAUUGGGCGUAAAGAGCUCGUAGGCGGUCUGUCGCGUCGGCUGUGAAAACCCGGGGCUCAACCCCGGGCCUGCAGUCGAUACGGGCAGACUAGAGUGCGGUAGGGGAGACUGGAAUUCCUGGUGUAGCGGUGAAAUGCGCAGAUAUCAGGAGGAACACCGGUGGCGAAGGCGGGUCUCUGGGCCGUAACUGACGCUGAGGCGCGACAGCGUGGGGAGCAAACAGG